rnacentral:rRNA from 1 species
UACGUAGGGGGCAAGCGUUAUCCGGAUUUACUGGGUGUAAAGGGAGCGUAGACGGCAGUGCAAGUCUGAAGUGAAAGGCAAGGGCUCAACCCUUGGACUGCUUUGGAAACUGUGCUGCUGGAGUGUCGGAGAGGCAAGUGGAAUUCCUAGUGUAGCGGUGAAAUGCGUAGAUAUUAGGAGGAACACCAGUGGCGAAGGCGGCUUGCUGGACGAUGACUGACGUUGAGGGUCGAAAGCGUGGGGAGCGAACAGG